AAGUCGUAACAAGGUUUCCGUAGGUGAACCUGCGGAAGGAUCAUUAUUGAAUAUUCUUGAUGGGUUGUAGCUGGCUCUCCGGAGCAUGUGCACGCCUGUCUUGAUUUAAUUCAUCCACCUGUGCACUUUUUGUAGUCUUGGAGGUUGAGAGCGGUCGACUAUCGGAUGGCUGUUAUGGCCUUUCCGGAUGUGAGGAAUUGCUGAGUGCAAAAGCAUACAGCUCUUCUCAAAAUGACUCGCAAUACCUCUCCUUCAAGUACUAUGUAUUCAUAUACCACAUAGUAUGUUGUAGAAUGUGAUCAAUGGGCUUAUGGCCUAUAAUAAUGAAAUACAACUUUCAGCAACGGAUCUCUUGGCUCUC
rnacentral:misc_RNA from 1 species